ACCGCGAUAGCUCAGCUGAUAGAGCUUCUGUCCAGUGUGCAGAGGGUCGUCAUUUCGACUCCGGCUCGCGGCG
rnacentral:tRNA from 1 species